rnacentral:rRNA from 1 species
GCCGGCGACCAUACCACGUUGAAAGCACCGGUUCUCGUCCGAUCACCGCAGUUAAGCAACGUUGCGCCCGGUCAGUACUUGCCUCCAAAUGCCCUGGUACGGCUGAGA